AUGGAGAUGGAGAUGGAGAUGGAAUGUGCUACUCCUAGCUCCAAGAGGGCGAGAGUGGCGCCAUCGGCGCUGCCACCUUCUGGUGGUGUGUUUGUCACCGUAGGGGAGGGAAGCGGCAAGUGUGCUCUUUCUCGAUCCAAGGAUGAAGAAGAGGGGUCUUGUCUGGACCUCAUCAGCGACCUACCGGACGCCGUCCUAGGUGAGAUCAUCUCUCAUCUCCCCCUCAAGGAUGGCAUCCAUACUCAAAUCCUCGCUCGUAGGUGGCGUCCUUUAUGGCUCACCGCUCCUUUGAAUCUCAAAUGUCGCGAGAUCUCUCUUGCCUGUCUUUUUAACUAUGGAGAAACAGUUCAUAUUGCCAUGCUCUUGAAGUUGUCCGCCGUCACCGAGGCCGUCUUCAGAUUUUAUACCGGAACUCGGUGCUCUUGA
rnacentral:rRNA from 1 species